rnacentral:rRNA from 1 species
GACGAACGCUGGCGGCGUGCUUAACCCAUGCAAGUCGAACGGAGUGGCGAACGGGUGAGUAACCCGUGGGUGAUCUGCCUUUCCCUUCGGGAUAAGCUUGGGAAACUGGGUCUAAUACCGGAUAGUGCGAGAUGAGCUCGCGGCCUAUCAGCUUGUUGGUGGGGUGAUGACGUACCAAGGCGUCGACGGGUGGCCGGCCUGCGUGGGUGUACGGCCACAGUGGGACUGAGAUACGGCCCAGACUCCUACGGGGGGCAGCAGUGGGGAAUAGUGCACAAUGGGCGGAAGCCGGAUGCAGCGACGCCGCGUGGGGGAGGAAGGCCUUCGGGUUGUAAACUCCUUUCGACAGGGACGCGGUACCUGUAUAAGAAGCACCGGCUAACUACGUGCCAGCAGCCGCGGUAAUAC